rnacentral:rRNA from 1 species
AGAAUCAACGCUGGCGGCGUGCCUAACACAUGCAAGUCGAACGAGAAAGUGGAGCAAUCCAUGAGUAAAGUGGCGCACGGGUGAGUAACACGUGACUAACCUACCCUGGAGUGGGGGAUAACUGAGGGAAACCUUAGCUAAUACCGCAUAAUACCUACGGGUCAAAGGAGCAAUUCGCUUCAGGAGGGGGUCGCGGCCGAUUAGUUAGUUGGCGGGGUAAUGGCCCACCAAGACAGUGAUCGGUAUCCGGCCUGAGAGGGCGCACGGACACACUGGAACUGAAACACGGUCCAGACUCCUACGGGAGGCAGCAGUGGGGAAUUUUGCGCAAUGGGGGAAACCCUGACGCAGCAACGCCGCGUGGAGGAUGAAGUCCUUCGGGACGUAAACUCCUUUCGAUCGGGACGAUUAUGACGGUACCGGAAGAAGAAGCCCCGGCUACUUCGUGCCAGCAGCCGC